UACGGAGGGGGCUAGCGUUGUUCGGAAUUACUGGGCGUAAAGCGCACGUAGGCGGCUUUGUAAGUUAGAGGUGAAAGCCUGGUGCUCAACACCAGAACUGCCUUUAAGACUGCAUCGCUUGAAUCAUGGAGAGGCGGGUGGAAUUCCGAGUGUAGAGGUGAAAUUCGUAGAUAUUCGGAAGAACACCAGUGGCGAAGGCGGCCCGCUGGACAUGUAUUGACGCUGAGGUGCGAAAGCGUGGGGAGCAAACAGA
rnacentral:rRNA from 1 species